AUUGAACGCUGGCGGCAGGCUUAACACAUGCAAGUCGAGCGGGGUGAUGGUGCUUGCACUAUCACUUAGCGGCGGACGGGUGAAUAAUGCUUAGGAAUCUGCCUAUUAGUGGGGGACAACAUCUCGAAAGGGAUGCUAAUACCGCAUACGUCCUACGGGAGAAAGCAGGGGAUCACUUGUGACCUUGCGCUAAUAGAUGAGCCUAAGUCGGAUUAGCUAGUUGGUGGGGUAAAGGCCUACCAAGGCGACGAUUUGUAGCGGGUCUGAGAGGAUGAUCCGCCGCACUGGGACUGAGACACGGCCCAGACUCCUACGGGAGGCAGCAGUGGGGAAUAUUGGACAAUGGGGGGAACCCUGAUCCAGCCAUGCCGCGUGUGUGAAGAAGGCCUUAUGGUUGUAAAGCACUUUAAGCGAGGAGGAGGCUCUUUUGGUUAAUACCCAAGAUGAGUGGACGUUACUCGCAGAAUAAGCACCGGCUAACUCUGUGCCAGCCGCCGCCGUAA
rnacentral:rRNA from 1 species